UGGCUCUCGCAUCGAUGAAGAACGCAGCGAAAUGCGAUAAGUAAUGUGAAUUGCAGAAUUCAGUGAAUCAUCGAAUCUUUGAACGCACCUUGCGCCCCUUGGCUAUUCCGAGGGGCAUGCCUGUUUGAGUAUCAUGAACACCUCAACUCUCAUGGUUUGCCAUGAUGAGUUGGACUCUGGGGGUUUUGCUGGCCUGUGGUCGGCUCCUCUCAAAUUAAUCAGCCUCCCAGUGUUUGGUGGCAUCACGGGUGUGAUAAAUAUCUACGCUCGCUGUUGUCUGCCAGGUAACCUUUGGUCACAAAGGUUUGCUGGAGCUCACAGAUGUCUCUCCUCAGCGAGGACAGCUUUUUUAACGUUCGAUCUCAAAUCAGGUAGGACUACCCGCUGA
rnacentral:misc_RNA from 1 species